rnacentral:lncRNA from 1 species
GAUCUCACACAAUUCUGACGUUUUUUCCCGUUUCUCCAAACAUAAGAUUUAGAAGUUGCUCCAAACAUAAGAUUUAGAAGUUGCUCCAAACAUACAUUUCUAAGUAUUUUUGACACCCUGGGAUGACUCCUGCUCAACAUCGUUCUGUUUCUUCAAAUUUUACAUUUCGAAGUUGUCAAAAUUCAAAGUUAAGGGUUAAAGUGAACUUGGUAUUCGUCAUGUCCAACACCACCACGUUUCCAUGGUUCUGUAGUCAAAUAGAUAUAGAGGAAGAUAAGCAUUUCUAAUGACAUCAUCAGUUUGCAUCAUUUGAUUUUAACCAAUUAUGAGUAGGCAUUGCACAUACAGUAUGUUGAUGUUGGGGUGGUGCUGGAGAUAAUGAAUAUGACAUUUAAAAUUGUGGAAUAUCCCUUUAAGGUUAGGGUUAAAAUAUGAAGUUUAGACAUUCAUUCCGAAUGGUUAAGGUUUGGGUUAAGGUAAGGGUUAAGGUAAGGGUUAAGGUAAGGGUUAAGGUAAGGGUUAAGGUAAGGGUUAAGGUAAGGGUUAAGGUAAUGGUUAAGGUUUGGGUUAAGAUAAGGGUUAAGGUAAUGGUUAAGGUAAGGGUUAAGGUAAGGGUUAAGGUAAUGGUUAAGGUUUGGGUUAAGAUAAGGGUUAAGGUAAGGGUUAAGGUAAUGGUUAAGGUAAGGGUUAAGGUAAUGGUUAAGGUUUGGGUUAAGAUAAGGGUUAAGGUAAGGGUUAAGGUUUGGGUUAAGGUAAGGGUUAAGGUAAGGGUUAAGGUAAGGGUUAAGGUAAGGGUUAAGAUAAGGGUUAAGAUAAGGGUUAAGGUUUAAACAAUCAUCUUCCACAGGGAUUGAACAUGCGACCUUCAGAUCUGGAAUCAUGCCCAUCCACCACCCCAGUCGACAAUGCUUUAGCAAAACCCAAGCCUUCUGGAUGGUAAUAGUUAUCUCACUGUUGCCCCUGGUGGUUUUGAAGGCAUUUCCCGACAUCUAAUUUCAAAGUCAAUCCUGUUCUUUCUCCAUAUAUUGUCAGAUCUCAAUGGCCAGGGAUUACCGGUGACUCAUAUCGUUAGUAGUUUAAGUGUUGUGAGGUAAACAUACAGUAUACCGGAGAGUUCUGUGGUAAUAACGACCCUAGGGUACAAUACAUGUAUUUAUCUCUUAGUAGUUAAAU